UACGGGGGGAGCAAACGUUGUUCGGAAUUACUGGGCGUAAAGGGCGAGUAGGUGGCCAUCUAAGUCAGACGUGAAAUCCCCCGGCUUAACCUGGGAACUGCGUCUGAUACUGGACGGCUUGAGUAUGGGAGAGGAACGUAGAAUUCCAGGUGUAGCGGUGAAAUGCGUAGAUAUCUGGAGGAAUACCGGUGGCGAAGGCGGCGUUCUGGACCAUUACUGACACUGAAUCGCGAAAGCUAGGGGAGCAAACGGG
rnacentral:rRNA from 1 species